UACGAAGGGGGGCUAGCGUUGCUCGGAAUCACUGGGCGUAAAGGGUGCGUAGGCGGCUUGUCGCGUCGACUGUGAAAACCCGCGGCUCAACUGCGGGCCUGCAGCCGAUACGGGCAGGCUAGAGUUCGGUAGGGGAGACUGGAAUUCCUGGUGUAGCGGUGAAAUGCGCAGAUAUCGGGAAGAACGACCCGUGGCGAAGGCGGCUCUCUGGGACAGUACUGACGCUGAGACGCGAAAGCGUGGGGAGCAAACAGG
rnacentral:rRNA from 1 species